rnacentral:rRNA from 1 species
UACGUAGGGCGCAAGCGUUGUCCGGAAUUAUUGGGCGUAAAGAGCUCGUAGGCGGCCUGUUACGUCUGCUGUGAAAUCCCGGGGCUUAACCCCGGGCGUGCAGUGGAUACGGGCAGGCUGGAGGCAGGCAGGGGAGAACGGAAUUCCCGGUGUAGCGGUGAAUGCGCAGAUAUCGGGAGGAACACCGGUGGCGAAGGCGGUUCUCUGG